rnacentral:rRNA from 1 species
AUGCCACUGGACUUCACCAAGCACUUCGUCGCGGUGCCGACGGAGUUCAAGCUCAGGAACAACACCGACUGCUCCUGGAAGGUGACGGUGAAGAUGAUGAACGGCAGGGUGACCCUGGAUCAGGGUUGGGCCACCUACGCAACCGUUCAUCAGAUCAAGAUCGGCUACAUGGUGAUGUUCAAGCUCCUCACUCCCGACACCCUCAAGGUCAUCAUCUUCGACGACGAUGACAUUGAGGUCGUCAACAAGUGCGGGAAGCACGACGAAGCCUUCGCCGCCAAGGAGUAG